UACGUAGGGUGCAAGCGUUGUCCGGAAUUAUUGGGCGUAAAGAGCUCGUAGGCGGUCAGUCGCGUCUGCUGUGAAAACUCGGGGCUUAACUCCGGGCCUGCAGUGGGUACGGGCUGACUAGAGUGCGGUAGGGGAGACUGGAAUUCCUGGUGUAGCGGUGAAAUGCGCAGAUAUCAUGAGGAAGACCAGUGGCGAAGGCGGGUCUCUGGGCAGUAACUGACGCUGAGAAGCGAAAGCGUGGGGAGCGAACAGG
rnacentral:rRNA from 1 species